UUCUGUGCCUCGGUGUCGCUAUAUACUUGUUUCUCUUUUUCUUUUUUCCGCCCCUUGCUUAUGGAGUACAGUCGAGCAAAUUAGAUUGUGAACCAUGACUUCACUGGGUACUUUGGAAACAGCCUCUUGCUGCAGUUAUAGUUUUAGUUGUUUAUUAUCCCCCCAUCGUUGUAAAGCUUGCAUUUUUAGGAAUCUUGUUGUUAGACCUUGAUGGGUCCCUUUACACUGCCCAUCAUUGCUGAAGCCUCUUCCAUAUCAUCAACAGAUGCUUGUAUCAAGAGGAAACAGAAACCAUUGCUGAGAAAAUCUUUUGCAUCAACUAGCAUGGGAG